AGCUCGGUAGCUUAUCUGGUGAAACGCUCGUCUAGCAUACAAGAGUCCUGGGUUCAAAUCCCAGUAGAGCAC
rfam:Aedes aegypti strain Liverpool supercont1.183 genomic scaffold, whole genome shotgun sequence.